AUCCACAUGCAAAGAUACAACCUCCCCACUAAGCAACCUACGAUUUAAGGCCUAAAUCUCUUCAUCUUCCCGUAAAGCUUUUCAUCAUCAACUCUUCUCGCUUUCUUCUUCAUAGGAUAGGAGGAAUCAGCAGCCCUCCAGAUUAAAGUCCAAGCAAGACUUCAUUUGAAUUCUGUGUUUUUAUUAGAUCCAAAAAAGAAAAAAAUGGCUACUGACGGACCGAGCUGGGCAGAUCAAUGGGGUGCUGGAGGAAUUGGUGCCAUGGACGAAGGUGACGCCUCCGCUGCAACCAAAGACGCUGGAAAUAACAAGAAACCGGCCUCAGGAUUCAGUAGAGCCAAAUCCAUAGCCGCUGCUGGCGCGCAAAAGCUCAAGAGCAGCACCUCACUGAGUUUUAAGUGGGUCAAGAACAAAUGCCAAAAGAAAAACUCUUCCACUUGAUCCAAAGGAAAGUGACUCCUUCUGCAUGCAAUCCUGCUUUAAUUCUCGACCUGGAAGCCAAUCAAAAUCUCUUGUAAUCUUGUAGGCAACUUUAUCAUCGUCAUGUUCAAUGUAAUCAGCAGCCCCCUUUCACUUUA